AUUGAACGCUGGCGGCAGGCCUAACACAUGCAAGUCGAGCGAGCGGCGGACGGGUGAGUAAUGUCUGGGAAACUGCCUGAUGGAGGGGGAUAACUACUGGAAACGGUAGCUAAUACCGCAUACCAUCAGAUGUGCCCAGAUGGGAUUAGCUAGUAGGUGGGGUAAUGGCUCACCUAGGCGACGAUCCCUAGCUGGUCUGAGAGGAUGAUCAGCCACACUGGAACUGAGACACGGCCCAGACUCCUACGGGAGGCAGCAGUGGGGAAUAUUGCACAAUGGGCGCAAGCCUGAUGCAGCCAUGCCGCGUGUAUGAAGAAGGCCUUCGGGUUGUAAAGUACUUUCAGCGGGGAGGCGUUACCCGCAGAAGAAGCACCGGCUAACUCCGUGCCAGCAGCCGCGGUAAUUC
rnacentral:rRNA from 1 species